GACGAACGCUGGCGGCGUGCUUAACACAUGCAAGUCGAACGGAAAGGCCCUGCUUUUGUGGGGUGCUCGAGUGGCGAACGGGUGAGUAACACGUGAGUAACCUGCCCUUGACUUUGGGAUAACUUCAGGAAACUGGGGCUAAUACCGGAUAGGAGCUCCUGCUGCAUGGUGGGGGUUGGAAAGUUUCGGCGGUUGGGGAUGGACUCGCGGCUUAUCAGCUUGUUGGUGGGGUAGUGGCUUACCAAGGCUUUGACGGGUAGCCGGCCUGAGAGGGUGACCGGCCACAUUGGGACUGAGAUACGGCCCAGACUCCUACGGGAGGCAGCAGUGGGGAAUAUUGCACAAUGGGCGGAAGCCUGAUGCAGCAACGCCGCGUGCGGGAUGACGGCCUUCGGGUUGUAAACCGCUUUCGCCUGUGACGAAGCGUGAGUGACGGUGAUGGGGAAAGAAGCACCGGCUAACUACGU
rnacentral:rRNA from 1 species